rnacentral:rRNA from 1 species
GGAUGCGAUAAACCAGCACAUAAUGCGCCGAUCCCAUCAGAACUCCGAAGAUUAAGCGUGCUUGGGCGAGAGUAGUAACUAGGAUGGGUGACCCCUGGGAAUGUCCUCGUGUUGCAUCCC